GAUGAACGCUAGCGAUAGGCCUAACACAUGCAAGUCGAGGGGCAUCACAUGAAGUAGCAAUACGGAUGGUGGCGACCGGCGCACGGGUGAGUAACACGUAUGCAACCUGCCUUCAACAAGGGGAUAACCCGUUGAAAGACGGACUAAUACCCUAUAACACAGGGGUCCCGCAUGGGGAUAUUUGUUAAAGGACAACCGGUUGAAGAUGGGCAUGCGUUCCAUUAGCUAGUUGGCGGGGUAAGGGCCCACCAAGGCAACGAUGGAUAGGGGAACUGAGAGGUUUAUCCCCCACACUGGUACUGAGACACGGACCAGACUCCUACGGGAGGCAGCAGUGAGGAAUAUUGGUCAAUGGACGCAAGUCUGAACCAGCCACGUCGCGUGAAGGAAGACGGCCCUACGGGUUGUAAACUUCUUUUGCAAGGGAAUAAAGUGGGCCACGUGUGGCCUUUUGCAAGUACCUUGCGAAUAAGGAUCGGCUAACUCCGUGCCAGCAGCCGCGGUAAAUACGC
rnacentral:rRNA from 1 species